CCUACGGGAGGCAGCAGUAGGGAAUCUUCGGCAAUGGACGGAAGUCUGACCGAGCAACGUCGCGUGAGUGAAGAAGGUUUUCGGAUCGUAAAGCUCUGUUGUAAGAGAAGAACGAGUGUGAGAGUGGAAAGUUCACACUGUGACGGUAUCUUACCAGAAAGGGACGGCUAACUACGUGCCAGCAGCCGCGGUAAUACGUAGGUCCCGAGCGUUGUCCGGAUUUAUUGGGCGUAAAGCGAGCGCAGGCGGUUAGAUAAGUCUGAAGUUAAAGGCUGUGGCUUAGCCAUAGUACGCUUUGGAAACUGUUUAACUUGAGUGCAAGAGGGGAGAGUGGAAUUCCAUGUGUAGCGGUGAAAUGCGUAGAUAUAUGGAGGAACACCGGUGGCGAAAGCGGCUCUCUGGCUUGUAACUGACGCUGAGGCUCGAAAGCGUGGGUAGCAAACAGGAUUAGAUACCCUGGUAGUCCACGCCGUAAACGAUGAGUGCUAGGUGUUAGACCCUUUCCGGGGUUUAGUGCCGCAGCUAACGCAUUAAGCACUCCGCCUGGGGAGUACGACCGCAAGGUUGAAACUCAAAGGAAUUGACGG
rnacentral:rRNA from 1 species